AUGGGUGGCACCACACAAAAAUUCUCCUCUAUGAGCAUGUAUAAAGCAAUUACUGGUCCCAGCCAAGCACUUAGUAUCUUUCAGAUGGUCUGGAAAACUGCAUGCAGGCUAAGGCACAAAAUAUUCUUCUGGUUACUACUCCAUGACAGAUUAAGCACAAGGAAUAUGAUUAAGCGCGGGAACAUGCACUUAGAUGAUUAUAAUUGUGCACUUUGUGCUGAGGCUAUGGAAGAAACAAGCAUUCAUCUCUUCUGGGACUGCCAGUUUGCUUGGAAUUGCUGGAAUAGGAUUGUUCCUAAUAAACAUAGAGGUACAUCGACCUAUGAUGAGGUCUUGUUCACUCCUCGCGAAAUACCAAAGGAUAUUGCUAUGGAGGUGGUGAUUAUGGGAUGUUGGAGCAUCUGGAUGACCAGGAAUGACAAAAUUUUCAGAAAGGCACCGAUGCACUAUGGAACAUGGAAGCAUUAUCUCAGAGAAGGACUUGCAAUUACUAGACUUCGAGCAAAGCAGAAGAAAGUUGAUUUGAUUAGCAGUUGGAUAGUACAAAAUCUCUAA
rnacentral:rRNA from 1 species